AACGCUGGCGGCGUGCUUAAUACAUGCAAGUCGAACGAAGCACUUUCCCCUGACUUUUUCGGAACGAAGGGGGUUGUGACUUAGUGGCGGACGGGUGAGUAACGCGUGGAUAACCUGCCCCAUGCAGGGGGACAACAGCUGGAAACGGCUGCUAAUACCGCAUAAGCGCACAGUGAGGCAUCUCACGGUGUGAAAAGAUUUAUCGGCAUGAGAUGGAUCCGCGUCUGAUUAGCCAGUUGGCGGGGUAACGGCCCACCAAAGCGACGAUCAGUAGCCGACUUGAGAGAGUGAUCGGCCACAUUGGGACUGAGACACGGCCCAGACUCCUACGGGAGGCAGCAGUAGGGAAUAUUGCACAAUGGGGGAAACCCUGAUGCAGCGACGCCGCGUGAGUGAUGAAGUAUUUCGGUACGUAAAGCUCUAUCAGCAGGGAAGAUGAUGACGGUACCUGACUAAGAAGCCCCGGCUAACUACGUGCC
rnacentral:rRNA from 1 species